rnacentral:rRNA from 1 species
UACGGGGGGGGCAAGCGUUGUUCGGAAUUACUGGGCGUAAAGGGCUCGUAGGCGGCCAACUAAGUCAGACGUGAAAUCCCUCGGCUUAACCGGGGAACUGCGUCUGAUACUGGAUGGCUUGAGUGCAGGAGAGGAACGCGGAAUUCCAGGUGUAGCGGUGAAAUGCGUAGAUAUCUGGAGGAACACCGGUGGCGAAGGCGGCGUUCUGGACUGUAACUGACACUGAUGAACGAAAGCCAGGGGAGCAAACGGG